UGGGUUUGCUUAGGCUUCGGUAAACCUGCUUCCUCCUGCCACCUCCUGCGCUCAGGCCCUCUGCAGGCUGUUCUACGGGAGCCCUGUGUGUGGCCGCUGCAUCUCCCCACCUCUGACCCCUUUGUUCCUAGGUAAGUCCAUGGCCUACAUGCGUGGCGUGUACUUUCGCAUGAAGGAUGAGGUGUUCCGGGGCUCCAGGCCCUACGAGUCAGGGCCCCUGGAGGAGUUCCUGAAGCGGGAGUUUGGGGAGCACACCAAGAUGACGGACGUCAGGAAACCCAAGGUGAUGCUGACAGGGACACUGUCUGACCGGCAACCGGCUGAACUCCACCUCUUCCGGAACUACGAUGCUCCAGAAACUGUCCGGGAGCCUCGUUUCAACCAGAACGUUAACCUCAGGCCUCCAGCUCAGCCCUCAGGAUGAACUAGCCAGACAGUGUGGCCUCGUGGGUCCUGCUUCUGAAGAGUUCCCAGCCUCCCUUCUUCCCGCACCCCCAGCCCCCGACACGCACACCCUGAGAUCUGGAGUGCAUGGGUUUUAUACCAGUCCCUUGUGCCACUGGGCCGCCCUCCUUCCCCGCCCCUAGACCAGCUGGUGUGGCGGGCAGCCCGAAGCAGCGGGGCAGCUCCUACUUACUUCCGACCCAAUGGGCGCUUCCUGGACGGCGGGCUGCUGGCUAACAACCCCACGCUGGAUGCCAUGACCGAGAUCCAUGAGUACAAUCAGGACCUGAUCCGCAAGGGUCAGGCCAACAAGGUGAAGAAACUCUCCAUCGUUGUCUCCCUGGGGACAGGGAGGUCCCCACAGGUGCCUGUGACCUGUGUGGAUGUCUUCCGUCCCAGCAACCCCUGGGAACUG
rnacentral:sRNA from 1 species